UGGGGAAUAUUGCACAAUGGGGGAAACCCUGAUGCAGCGACGCCGCGUGAACGAAGAAGGUAUUCAUAUCGUAAAGUUCUGUCCUAUGGGAAGAUAAUGACAGUACCAUAGAAGAAAGCUCCGGCUAAAUACGUGCCAGCAGCCGCGGUAAUACGUAUGGAGCGAGCGUUGUCCGGAAUUAUUGGGCGUAAAGGGUACGCAGGCGGUUUAAUAAGUCGAAUGUUAAAGAUCGGGGCUCAACCCCGCAAAGCAUUGGAAACUGAUAAACUUGAGUAGUGGAGAGGAAAGUGGAAUUCCUAGUGUAGUGGUGAAAUACGUAGAUAUUAGGAGGAAUACCAGUAGCUAAGGCGACUUUCUGGACACAAACUGACGCUGAGGUACGAAAGCGUGGGGAGCAAACAGG
rnacentral:rRNA from 1 species